AUGUAUGGGAGAGGUUGGAGGAAGUUCUAUGAAGACAACAAUCUGGGCAAGGGUCAGAUGGUGGUGUUCUACCUGGAUGAACCUUCGCCUACGGCAUCUAUUUUGUGGUUCCAGGUGGGCAACGGCUCUGAAGAUGAACAGCCUAUGGAAGAGGGUGAUCCCAUUGAAGAUUCAGAUUCAGGUAAUGAGGAUGGAGAAGCUUCAAGCGAUGAUGGUGAAGGCAUUGUUCGCACUAGGGGGGGCUUUUGCUUAAUGAGACAGAGGAUGUUCAGCUACAAGGGCUGCUGCCUCUCAGUGAUGGUUUCAUCAGGUUUGCUUUUGUUCACCGCCUCACAAGGACUGACAUUCGCUUGGGCAUGA
rnacentral:rRNA from 1 species